UGCCAAAAUUAGAGGAAUACUGACGGUGCCCGAUGCCAAGUGUCAGGUCCUUUGCGCCAGUGCCUUGCCUCCCUCGCUGCCCUGUGGAACACAAACCUUCUCUGAGGUCGCGUACCCGGCUAGACAGCUGAUCAGGCGGUGGUUUCGUCAUCGCCGAGGAGACCCCGUCAACGCCGACGCACGCCACUUUAAGCCCCUUUCCACCUCUUUUUCCUCCAAAUAACGCCCUGAUUUCCCUUUCCUGUGAAGAACACUAACUCAAAUCCCUUUCCAGCCGAAAUCCGGACGAACUCCCACCCGAAAAUGGGUCCAAUUACUCACUUUUGCUGGACGCGUACGGUUAAACUGCCUGACGGAGAGCGAGUCAGCGGCCGAAGGGAGACGUGGGUGCUAUUACGGCGGCGCCGCCUGUAACGCGCGACGCCAUUGGUCGAGGCGGAUGAAUGGGCGGACGAGAGGCGAGUCCUGAUUGGCUAGUACAUAGUGAAAACCUGGAGCAUGCGGAAUUCCGCUGGGGUUGCGUAAACUUUUGUCCACAUUUCAAAAUAGAGAAUAGACAUAUUAUUUUCUUGAUAGUACGUGUAACAAAGAAAAAAAAUACG